CAGUCGCCGCGGGAAUACGAAGGGGGCUAGCGUUGCCCGGAAUGACUGGGCGUAAAGGGCGCGUAGGCGGUUUUGACAGUCAGAUGUGAAAUUCCUGGGCUUAACCUGGGGGCUGCAUUUGAGACGUCAAGACUAGAGUGUGGGAGAGGGUUGUGGAAUUCCCAGUGUAGAGGUGAAAUUCGUAGAUAUUGGGAAGAACACCGGUGGCGAAGGCGGCAACCUGGCUCAUUACUGACGCUGAGGCGCGAAAGCGUGGGGAGCAAACAGGAUUAGAUACCCGCGUAGUCCCUGUCUCUUAUAC
rnacentral:rRNA from 1 species